GCCUUCGUGGUGUAACUGUAGCACGCUCCUCGCUAUUCGAGAGGUUCGGGUUCGAGUCCCGGUGAGGGCA
rnacentral:tRNA from 1 species